rnacentral:lncRNA from 1 species
GGGAGGUCAGCCUGGCCUUGGAAAUAUGCUGCUGCUAGUCACAUGUGAAGUGGUUGAUGUUUGUGAUAUUCUUAAAACCUCUUUAUGGUAAACAGUACAGGCAAUUAUUUUCCUCUAUUUUCAGACUAAAUCAAGUGGGUCGAAGAAGUCUUAAGAAGAGGCUCCAUUUCCAGCUAACAGGUGGCAUUUCAGAGGACAUCUUUAGCAGUAUGAACAUUUAUCUGACCUCUCUUACAAAGAUUUUUCCUUCACUCAAGAAAAUACUGAAUGAGUCAGCGUGUUCAUCUGUUUUGCUCUGGUAAAUC